CGGGGCGUAGCGCAGUCCGGUAGCGCACUUGAAUGGGGUUCAAGUGGUCGCCCGUUCAAAUCGGGCCGCCCCGACCA
rnacentral:tRNA from 1 species